UAAUUUCAUCCAUACCCGAUGAAUAUAAACCACAACAUGGAGUCAGUCUUAUCUAUGAAAUCCAGCACCAUGCAAGUUACAGGAGAUGACAAAGUUUGUGUAAAGAAUUGUUGAAGGGAUUGAAUUUCCAGGAACCAACAGUGGCUGUAUCCCAGCUGCAACAAUUAUACUAUCGUCUAUUAUGCCGAUGCAAGAUCCUAUAGAAGUUCGCAUUGUCAUGGCCUCUGCGAGUUUUGCUCUGGCUCCUUCAUGGCGGCGCAGAACUAGGAUGGUGUUCAGUACAGACCAUCCGAUUUGAGAAUCUGCUUUUUUGAGUGAAGCCUAACCCCUUGAGCAGCAAAUCCAACAGUUCAAUGAGCAAAAGCGAAGGCUCGACAGCUAGAUCAAGACUUGUAAAGGCUACGACACAGAAGCAAUCAGCUGGCUUCUGUAUUGAUGCAACUGAGAAAGCCAUAGAUGAAAAGGAAAUUUAGGUAAGAUGCCUCGACUCUAUUAACCAUGCAUUUGCAUUUUACCAAAAUGUUUCUUCCACCUUCUAGGAUGCAAUUCUCUUACCAAGAGAAGGGCAUUGCAUGAUUAGCUUUGAUCUUGCUUGAUUAUAAUGACAGACAAUGCAAUGUAUCUGGUAUCAUUGUAAAGUAUAA